CAGCCGUAAACUAUGCUCGCUAGGUGUCAGGCAUGGCGCGACCGUGUCUGGUGCCGCAGGGAAGCCGUGAAGCGAGCCACCUGGGAAGUACGGCCGCAAGGCUGAACUUAAGGAAUUGGCGGGGGAGCACAACAACGGGUGGAGCCUGCGGUUUAAUUGGACUCAACGCCGGACAACUCACCGGGAACGACAGCAAUAUGUAGGCCAGGCUGAAGACCUUGCCUGAAUCGCUGAGAGGAGGUGCAUGGCGUAGACGUGU
rnacentral:rRNA from 1 species